rnacentral:rRNA from 1 species
ACGGGAGGCAGCAGUGGGGAAUAUUGCGCAAUGGGGGAAACCCUGAUGCAGCGACGCCGCGUGAGUGAAGAAGUAUUUCGGUAUGUAAAGCUCUAUCAGCAGGGAAGAAAAUGACGGUACCUGACUAAGAAGCCCCGGCUAACUACGUGCCAGCAGCCGCGGUAAUACGUAGGGGGCAAGCGUUAUCCGGAUUUACUGGGUGUAAAGGGAGCGUAGACGGCGAUGCAAGUCUGAUGUGAAAGCCCGGGGCUCAACCCCGGCACUGCAUUGGAAACUGUGUUGCUAGAGUGCGGGAGAGGUAAGUGGAAUUCCUAGUGUAGCGGUGAAAUGCGUAGAUAUUAGGAGGAACACCAGUGGCGAAGGCGGCUUACUGGACUGUAACUGACGUUGGGGCACGAAAGCGUGGGGAGCAAACAGGAUUAGAUACCCUGGUA